GAGCCAUUAGCCCUAAGGGAUACGGAUGAAGUAGAUCCAACCAUCCCACUGCUUGAUGAAGAAGCACAGAACUUUGAAUUCAAGGCUGCCUUUAUCUAGAUCCCUGACUGACCUGCACUGAGGAGAAAGCAGUUCCAGCUUUGGAAACUGGGGCACUGGGGGAGCCAGGUUCAGGGACAGAGAAUUUGAGCAGUGUCCUGGUAACAGCCUGCAUGGAAGCAGAGGUCAGUUCCUGAGAAGCUCUGCCUGCGUACCUCCUCAGUUUGGGGGAAGGAGGAGCCCCGACCUGGUCAAAAUCAGCCUUCCUUCCCCAGAGCGCCUGUGACCUGAGACCAGGCAAGAACCACGACUGACCACAGGGGAGAAUCCAGUCACUUUCGUUACACUGUGCUCCUGUUCCCUUGGGAAGCCAGCCCCACACUCCUGUAGACUCUCUCUCAUCCCCUAGAUGAGCCUUUUCGUCUACCCCUUGGACAUUCUGACCUCGUACACACCUCGAAGUGUACCGGUAACUCUGCUCUAAUAUGUCAAGUUCUGAAAACAUUUCCACUCUUCUGGCCAAGGAGGCUCAGCCAGUUGUGGGGUGAAAUUUGGGAAGCCUGGAUUGGGAAGUGAAGAUCACCUUGUUCUGUGGAAAGUGAAAGAGGAAUUGAAGCGAGGAAGCUAACGCUCUUCCUUUGGUUCCAGCGCAUCAACCUUCACCUCUCCCCGCAGCACCGCGAUCACCAGCCAUCAAGGCCACCUUGCCCGGUGCCUUUUUUUUUAAAUAUGGCUUUAAAUGCUUCAUCGUGGUUAGAAGACAACAUAGAGAAGCAUUAACAAAAUGAUGGGGAAGACACAAAAUAGAAGAACAGAGAAAGAAGAAAGAGGAAGUAGAAUUCAGGAGGAGAAAAAAUCAUGACAUUGGUUUAUUGAAAACUGAACAGAAGGCAAAAUUGCACCCAGCCACCUCCAGCCCAGCAGGCUUGUCAAAACCAACUCAGACACAGGGGGACUCUUACCUAUUUGUCUCUGGAUCUUCAGAAUGGAGUCAGGAGAGGUGGCAUUUGGAGGCAGCGGAGCUGUGCUGGUUACCUUCGUUUCCCCCUCUGCAUCUACAGAGGUGUUUUGCACAUAAAAGGAUUUCAACAGAGUGAAAUGAUCACUAACUUUUAAGUUAUAUCUACUCUUGCAAAGUGAAAUGUGGAGUUCAGAUGUCUGGGGGGAUAAAAAGGUGUUACAAAAAGACCCAAAUGGUCCACAUGAAUAAAAGAUGAUACAUUUGGGCCA
rnacentral:lncRNA from 1 species